AUGGAGGUACUUGGCAAAUCUGUGAUUGCUGAGCCCAGCAAUGUGAUUUUCUUGUCCACUAUUCUGAACACAGAAGGGGAAAUCCCCAGUCACAAGUGUGACAAGAGGUGCCAGAAUGAGCACAUCUUUGGAAACAUGUACCGCUGCAAACUGACUGGAAUGACGCACAUUUGUGACAAAAACUGUAACCAGAGGAUCCUCUAUGACAACCACAACUCGCUUUGCCGAGUGAGUGGGCAGUUGUUCCCGCUCUCACCACUGGAGCUGACGGCAGUGAGGGGGAUUCGGAGGAAGCAUGAAGCCGACAGCAAUGAAGGGUGCUCCUUCAAGCGCAGGCGUGGUGCACAGCUCCAUCCUUCCCCUUUUGAGAGGUCCUACUCCGCCGUGUCUCCGAUACCGAGCCAAGCUGGAGAUGGCAUGGACCUGAGCUAG
rnacentral:rRNA from 1 species